GGGGAUGUAGCUCAGUGGUAGAGUGCUUGCCUAGCAUGUGCAAGGCCUGGGCUCAAUUCCCAGUACUCCCC
rnacentral:tRNA from 1 species